AGCUCCUGGCUUCUCUCCACCCCCACUCUGCUUCCCACUGGCUUUAGGACCUGGAGGGCUGGGUAUGCUGGCCAGCCUAGAGUCAUCAGAUGCCAGGCUGCCUUCUUGGGCCCCUGACCUGUUCUCCACACAAUCCCUGGCAGAGCAGGGCCCCGCCUGGAGACCUUCCUUCAUGAAUGACAGAAGACUUCUGCAGAGAGAGAGAGAGAGAAAAAAAAAAACAAAAACAAAAAAAACCAAACCAACACGUUUGAAGGACUAAGGUACAAAUGGAAGCAACAAUACGUUCCGUCAGCAAACAGGCAACGGGGACCUCCAGCACCCCCAGGUCUGUCCCAGGUGUGUGAGGGAUGAUGGCCUUACCCCAGGGGCGAUGUGGAGCCUUCACACACGUGAGAAGGACUGGACUCAGCUGGGCCGGCUGUCUCUGCAGUAGGUGGUCUCGGAGGUCUGGCACUGAUAACUGUUGCCUGACUGUGGUAGCUAGGCACUUAACUCCUGACCUGAGAGCUGGCGAUGACUGGUGGGAAUGGGAACUUCUUGGGAGGAUGAUUAGGGUCCCUAGUGAAGUCUCCUGGGUUCUCUCUACCUGCAGGCUGGCCUCACCUGUCCACUCUGGACAACUCCCAGACCUGGUAUCUGUGCCCAAGAGCUCUGGGCAGUGCCCAUUGCAGGAGAAGCACCAUAGUGUCAUCCUAGUCCCUCUGGUACAGGUUUCUGGGAAGCGAUUACAUCUCUGCAGAUCUCGGGAGGGAUAAAGUCUGGCCCAAACCAGAGGUUAGGCUUUGGACACAUUCUUUCUCUCUCUCUCUCUCUCUCUCUCUCUCUCUCUCUCUCUCUCUCUCUCUCUCUCUCUCUCUCUCUCCUGAGAUUGUAAGGAAGAAGGGGGGAAAAUGAGUGAAAAAUUGCCCCAUCUGGAUUGUGCAGGGAGAAGCAAUUUCCUCUCCAAAUCUCUUUUUCUGGUUCUCAGAAGAUGCAAUUUGGAAAUGUCCCAGUGGCUCUGGCCAGGGUGUGGGCCAGUUCACUUACACCACCUAGGGAAGGGGUUGGAGGACCAUGCUGAGAUAUGAGGAAGGUCUUGGCAGACAGCAGCGGUGUGCUGGGGAGACUUCCAAGCUUGAAUGGCGUGGUAACUAGCACCCACAAAAGACCCUGUUCUGGAGUCUGUAACUUGGGAGAUUGUGUGGACAGAAGAACAAGCCCCCAUUAUAGGCCAGUACUUUGCAAGCCUCCUUAACUGGCAGGUUUUCUGGGUGCUGGGCAGACAGGUAGUAUCUUGGAGGCAUUGUCAGCCAUCCAGGGUCCUGGUAUGGGGUAUCAGAGACACCCGGACGAGCUCUGAGCCCUCCCUGCCGUGUGCUGCCGUGUGUUGUGUGAACUGGGGCCACUCUGCAGUACUGUCGUUUCAGAGAUCUCAGGAAAUGGCUAUGACAGCCCAGCCUGGAGAGCCACAGGCUUCCUUAGGCAAGGCAGGACGUGACAACUGAGACUCUAAGGGUCCUGUCAGGAGCCUUCCCUUCCCUUUGACAUGAUGCUGACCCUGUAGCCUGAAUAUAUCACCUGUCCUUCAACUAGCCCAGAACCAGCUCCUGCCUCCAAGCAACUAAACCAUCACCUUGCUAUUCACCCACACUGCCGACCGGUCUACAUCCUGCCAUCUGGUCAAACUAUAGUUUUCUAAGCUAUAGAGCAAACUGCUCAUCAAAUAGGAAACCCACCCACCAAUCGACUUGCUAGUCAGUCUAUUCCUUCUUCAUCCUUUCACCCUAGCUAAUCUACCAACCAAUCCAUCUGUCACCCAUUUCCCCACUGUCCAAUCAGGAGUGAGGUUCUACGUGAUGGCGGCGACAGAGAAGAUUGAAUGUAAAGACCUAUAGGCUAGAGAUAUGACAGUUCAUAAAGUGCCUACAAGGUAUACUGGAGUCUGGGUUUCGAUUCUCGACACCUCCUAAACUGGGAGUGGUAGUGACCUGUAGUCCUGGUACUCACAACCUGGAGGCUGGAUGAUCAGAAGUUCAAAGUCAACCUAAGAUACAUGAGACCCCAUCUUAAAAUUAAAGCAAAAGUCAAACUACCACCCAAACCUCGAAAGAACUAUUAAUUAUAGAAGAUUUUCUACCAUCAUAAGGGAUUGUAUGCCUUCUCUCAGAAGUACAGAAAAGCUGGGCCAUGGACCAGUGGUAGAGCACUUUCCUAGUGUCUGGAAGGUUGGAUUAAAUCAGAAGGGACUCCUCCCAUCCCAGCAGUCCCAGGACAUAGAUCUGAGCCUUGUCUGGGAAGGGACAGCCAGCCUUCUGGGUGUCUGGAGUGUGAUGAGGUCCCACAUUGCUGCUGGAGGGACUGGAAGCUGUUUACUGUGGAUGCCUGUGGGGCACUGGUAGAGAAUCCUUUUCUUCAACAGAGUCCUUCCAGCCCCACAUCCCACAGAGCUGAACGAAGAGCCAGGAGGUUUGUUCUACAUCAGGCAGACAACAGAAAGGACUUCCAGUCCAGAUCAGGGGGCUCAUGAAUCUAAUUCUCUGUGGGCCGUCAGGAAGAACUUCACACACAUCUGUGUUGGAUGUCAGGUUGACCAGGGAAGAGUCAGGGCAUAACUGUAAUGACCUUUCCUAACCUUGCUAAAGUGGCCCAGGUCUACCUGCUCCUAGGUUCCCAUCGACGGCUCAAGCACCAUUAAGUCUCUUGGAAUAAAAAUCUAACUUCAGAAUC
rnacentral:lncRNA from 1 species